GACGAACGCUGGCGGCGUGCUUAACACAUGCAAGUCGAACGGAAAGGCCCUGCUUUUGUGGGGUGCUCGAGUGGCGAACGGGUGAGUAACACGUGAGUAACCUGCCCUUGACUUUGGGAUAACUUCAGGAAACUGGGGCUAAUACCGGAUAGGAGCUCCUGCUGCAUGGUGGGGGUUGGAAAGUUUCGGCGGUUGGGGAUGGACUCGCGGCUUAUCAGCUUGUUGGUGGGGUAGUGGCUUACCAAGGCUUUGACGGGUGGCCGGCCCGAGAGGGUGACCGGCCACAUUGGGACUGAGAUACGGCCCAGACUCCUACGGGAGGCAGCAGUGGGGAAUAUUGCACAAUGGGCGGAAGCCUGAUGCAGCAACGCCGCGUGCGGGAUGACGGCCUUCGGGUUGUAAACCGCUUUCGCCUGUGACGAAGCGUGAGUGACGGUAAUGGGUAAAGAAGCACCGGCUAACUACGUG
rnacentral:rRNA from 1 species